UACGUAGGGUGCAAGCGUUAAUCGGAAUUACUGGGCGUAAAGGGCGCGUAGGCGGUCAGCACAAGUCAGUUGUGAAAUCUCCGGGCUUAACUCGGAAAGGUCAACUGAUACUGUGCGACUAGAGUGCAGAAGGGGCAACUGGAAUUCUCGGUGUAGCGGUGAAAUGCGUAGAUAUCGUAAGGAAGACCAGUGGCGAAGGCGGGUCUCUGGACAGUUCCUGACGCUGAGGCACGAAGGCCAGGGGAGCAAACGGG
rnacentral:rRNA from 1 species